UGAACGCUGGCGGCGUGCCUAAUACAUGCAAGUCGAGCGAACAGACGCGGAGCUUGCUCCUCUGACGUUAGCGGCGGACGGGUGAGUAACACGUGGAUAACCUACCUAUAAGACUGGGAUAACUUCGGGAAACCGGAGCUAAUACCGGAUAAUAUAUUGAACCGCAUGGUUCAAUAGUGAAAGACGGUUUUGCUGUCACUUAUAGAUGGAUCCGCGCCGCAUUAGCUAGUUGGUAAGGUAACGGCUUACCAAGGCAACGAUGCGUAGCCGACCUGAGAGGGUGAUCGGCCACACUGGAACUGAGACACGGUCCAGACUCCUACGGGAGGCAGCAGUAGGGAAUCUUCCGCAAAGGGCGAAAGCCUGACGGAGCAACGCCGCGUGAGUGAUGAAGGUCUUCGGAUCGUAAAACUCUGUUAUUAGGGAAGAACAAAUGUGUAAGUAACUAUGCACGUCUUGACGGUACCUAAUCAGAAAGCCACGGCUAACUACGUG
rnacentral:rRNA from 1 species